GGGUUAUUAUACAUAAAGCAAUCAAUACGUAUCUAAUUUUCUUGUUCCAACUGCUCAAACCGUUGAUCAUCAUAAGUCGACUUUUUUUUUAAUCUGUCAAAUGUAGUGUAGAGUGAACUGAAAUCGGGUGUAAUGCUAAUAAAAUGAAAUUCUGAUUUUUUAAAGUACCUUGAAAACGAAUUUUAAAAUUAUCUGAGUUGCGUCGAAUUGUUGGAAAUGUCACGCCAUGCCUUUGAACAGGUUUCCAGAAAUUAACUUUGUAGCAAGUAUUCAUCCAUUUUGAAUAAAAUAAUUUCCAAAUAUCUGCUCAGCCAAUUCUGAAUUCUGAGAACAUAAAGCGACAAUUUUUUUUCCAUUGUCUUUUACAAAGGACCCAUUUUCGUAAUUCGUUGUCGCUAUCUGGGCUCAAUCUCCACUUCACAUCCUUAUGAGUUUCAUAUUCAUAAUUCCAUUCCUCUAUCAUCAACUUGAAUUAUUGGAUCAUUACGCAUUUGUGUCGCAUUUUGUGCUUCCUGCUCGUUUGAUAUUCAUAAAGACUUCAGAAUGGACCAUGAAAAUAGACACGUUGGAAUCGACUUCCAGCAUUGGCGUGUUUGGAUACAAUGUUUUCAGCAACUGUUGAGAAGUAGAGGAGCAAGAAAUCCUAUCAAUUCUUAUGCAUCAGAAAAACUAUAGAGCUGCACUCAUCGCACAGAUUCCCGAAUCAGAAUCGACGCUCUUCAAAGUCUUAUGUUUCUUGCCUCCCUCUGAAUGACUCGAUUUUGGUGCAGUGGCAUGCUUUCUAUACAAAGUUUAAACCAUAUUGACAAAACACGCGUGUCUUUCUAUCACAUAUACGAUUGAACAUCAUCGUCGUCAUCUCAAACGCUUUCACGAGAAGAAAUGCUUCCUUUGAAAAUCUUCCAGCCGCGAAAACGCGAAUAAAAUUUCAUUCACGCUCGAAUGUUCAAAAAUAAAGCAAUAAAUUUUCGCCGACGAGUUUGGUUUAAUUAUAUAUAUUUUUUACAAUUUAUAAUGCUAACGAUGUUGAGGUUAUUAUUUGUAUUUCUACUUUAAACACGCACACUGCAAUAAUGUAAAAGUGUAUUUACAACGAUUGGUGGUGGGUGCAACGAAGAAAGGGUAAAAAUUAACAAAAGACCCGCGAACAAGAUAAGUAUAUACUUACCUAUCUAUCGCAGGGCGCGGUUCGUCUAUAGGCAGUUACACCACAAUGAUUCGUUACUGCCGCUAGACUUUCAAGAUUAAUCAUUCGCCACCAUGGUGGUAGCUUAGAUAAAAGUAUCAUUUGCACAGUCAUUUAUUAAGUAUAAGUUUCUUUCUCAACGUCGAACAAAACUUUACAUCGUUAUUCUUAUGUUAUGGUGUAGAAGAUAAGGCCGAGACGCGCCACCGUAGCUGGCAUAAUUUCAAUAAAGGCCAACUUACAUAGUUCGAUGCUUCUAUUAAAAUAACUAUUUUCAUUCGUUUUCCAUGAAAAAUCAGAUUCCGAUUCUGAAACCUGUUUGGCUUUUGUUACGUAGGUACUUCUACUCACCUAUCUACGUCUACAAAUUGAGCCAAAAAUCUUCACCCCUCCCCCACCAUAGCUAAAAAAACACGUUUUUUGCCACCUGAAAUGUGUUGAGAAAGGGUGGGCUUUUCCACAGGAUUUUUCAUUGCUGUGGGGGGGGGGGGGUAAAAUUGACGAAAGAAAACUUUGAACCGCCGUUACUCCGGACUGAAAAGUGGCAUACAAAAAAUCUUCUUGCCAAAAUGUGUAUUUUGAUGAGUACUUUUUUCCAACGUAAGAGUUGAAUGAAAAAAUUGUCUGCAACGUGCUCAUUUUUGUCAAAAACCGCUUGAAAUAUAUUUUUCCCACCUCCGGGCGGAAAGUACUACUUUCCACCCUCGUUUAGGAAAAAUGACUUCACUAAACUCAGAGAAAAAGUGAUUUUGAACUCUUUGUAAAAAAUGAGAAGGAAAUCGCAAAAUAUUGUAAAAUUUUCAGACGAAUUUUGAAAUUGUAUUAUACAUCUCCUACGUUGUUUGAAACAACCCAUCAUUUUCCAUUUAUCGUAUUUGCAAUACGAGAUAUUUAUUUAUACGCAUUUAUUAUACUUACAUUUGCUCAAUAUUUUUAUUAUGAAAAAUCAAGAUUUUUUUAUGAAACCCCCCCUCGAUUGUUAAUUCCUUUUAAUAUUACACUUCCUUGGGGUAUUACUUUUGAUACAAACAUUGAGUAACUAGACGGAUAGGUUCAAUCUUCUUGGGGUGUUUACUGAUGUGAAUUUGGAACCUUAGCCUUUUAAUAUGGUAUACCUUAUGUUUAAUACAAUAAUUCUUCUUUGGGGUUUUACAUGUCGGUAAUUCAGAGCAUGAUUCUUUAUAAUGUCGUUAAAAUUGUUGAUGCAUUUUACUCAUAAGUCAUAAGACUUCAACUUCUGAGCCAGGAUUUUCUCAAGGAGGGGGCAAAACCAGAUUUUUAGGCAUAAAAAAUCAAAAUGAGGAGUAAUUUUAUGGAAAUCCAUCGUGAUGUGUGAUGAUAUCAUGAAAAUGAAGGCAAAAUUAUUGCUCGAGCGAAGCGAGAGCGAAAAUUUUUAGAAAAAAUGGGUCCAAACAACAAAAAAACGUCCAUUUUUGCAUGUUUUCUUUCAAAUUUUCGUUCGCAAGGGGGGGGGCAUGGCCCCCUUCGCCUUCCCUUGGCUACGCCACUGAUCUCAGCUUAUGAGAAUAGGUAAUUGUUGGGUUUCUGUGUUGGCAAGUCCAGUUGCCUGUGUUAGUUGGAGAAAUCUGACUACAUCUGGAGCUGGAAUGUACAACGAGAACUUGACAAUACUUAUUUGAUGACUAAACAUGUAAUUCCUUCUGUCUCCUCUAUAACUCUCGCCAAUAUGGGAUACGGAGGGGCAGAGGGAAUGUUACAGACCAUUCAACAGAGUGCCAAUUUACAUGUUUCUGUGAUCUGUGUCCCAUUUCGGGGCUCGCAGGGGUUACCUUGUGGGUCACGAGUGGGGCAUAUGUCACAGUAAAUAUGGCCUUUUCCGUUAGUGGGGAGGAAGGGUAAUUACUCCAUGGGGGAACAACUGGUUAACGUUUGCACAACGCACAUCGGACUGGUUUUACCUACACUCUGUCUAGUCUACCAAUGUGCGUUCUUCAUCACAGUUGUAAUGUAGGUUUGGCUGGGAACAUUAAAUUGUACAAAAGCUGUAAGCUAAGUUAAUUUGUAAAUCAUAAAUGACGUUUAUGUUCAUCUAACGAAUUCGUGUUAAUGUUAAUGUGUUAUGUAAUAUUUAUUGAGUUGAUUGAUUAAUUACAUUUGAUUUGUCUGA